rnacentral:lncRNA from 1 species
UGAACAUUGUUGUAAUAAUAUAUAGGGAAAACUUCAAAAACCCCCCCUGUGGUUUCGUGCAUUCUCACUUUGCUACCCUGUGGUUUAAAACGUAUCAUUUUGCCCCCCUGUGGUUUCGUUUUAUCUUUUUGUUAUCAAUUUUAUUAUUAUUAUUUUUUUUAAAUCAGUGACAAAGUUAAAAUUAAAAGAUACUAAAGUGACUAUUCGAUAAAUAUAGAUGAUUAUCUGAAGUUUUUUGUAUAUAAUUUAACGAAAUAUUAACGAAAAAGCUUCCGAAAAGAUAAAAAUGAAACCACAGGGGGGUAAAUUGAUACGUUUUAAACCACAGGGUAGCAAAGUGAGAAUGCACGAAACCACAGGGGGGGUUUUUGAAGUUUUCCU